CAUAAGACCGGUAUGGUGCCAACUUUGAACAUGAGUAUGGGGCAAACUAUCGCUCACUAUCCACAAGCGGUUCGUGUGAUGUGCCAUAUGAGAAGUCGAACGUCAAGCCAAUCAAGUGAAGUUAUCAAAUAGUAUGCUUUAGUUGAAUUGUGUAGGUUCCUUAUCUCGCGUGGGCGCUCUGGCUUGAUUUUAUUGUCUAAUAACUCUACUCUUUGUAUCUAACUUGAUGUGAAUUUAUCGUCCUGGCUUAGUUUUGGAGCAAAAAACUGUUUCCCUUUUAUCAUGA